rfam:Ciona savignyi cont_37924, whole genome shotgun sequence.
CAAUCUCGGGCUUGGUUAGUACUUGGAUGGGUGACCGCUUGGGAAUACCAAGUGUGAUAAGCA